AGUUUAAGGAAAUAAUCUUAAAUGUAUUCUGCCCAGUGAUUAUUAUUAAAUGGCCGCAGUACCUUGACUGUGCUAAGGUAGCAUAAUCAAUUGGCUUCUAAUUAAAGUCUGGAAUGAAAGGAAAAAUGAAGUAAUUCUGUCUUAAAGAAUUUUUUUUGAAUUUAUUUAAAUGAUGAAAAUAUCAUUUUUUUUAGAAAAAAGACGAGAAGACCCUUAGAGUUUUCAAUUUUUUUUUGUUGGGGCGACAAGUAAACAAUUAAACUUUACAAUAAUUAUAAAUCGAUUUUUUAUAAGAAUAAUUAAACUACCUUAGGGAUAACAGCAUUAUAUAUUUUUUUAUGAUUGUGACCUCGAUGUUGGACUAGGAACUUUAUGGCUAGCCGUCAAAAAAGAUUUGUUCUGUUCGAACAAUAUUAUCCUAC
rnacentral:rRNA from 1 species